rnacentral:rRNA from 1 species
GACGAACGCUGGCGGCGUGCCUAAUACAUGCAAGUUGAGCGCUGAAGGUUGGUACUUGUACCAACUGGAUGAGCAGCGAACGGGUGAGUAACGCGUGGGGAAUCUGCCUUUGAGCGGGGGACAACAUUUGGAAACGAAUGCUAAUACCGCAUAAAAACUUUAAACACAAGGUUUAAGUUUGAAAGAUGCAAUUGCAUCACUCAAAGAUGAUCCCGCGUUGUAUUAGCUAGUUGGUGAGGUAAAGGCUCACCAAGGCGAUGAUACAUAGCCGACCUGAGAGGGUGAUCGGCCACAUUGGGACUGCGACACGGCCCAAACUCCUACGGGAGGCAGCCGUAGGGAAUCUUCGGCAAUGGACGAAAGUCUGACCGAGCAACGCCGCGUUAGUGAAGAAGGUUUUCGGAUCGUAAAACUCUGUUGGUAGAGAAGAACGUUGGUGAGAGUGGAAAGCUCAUCAAGUGACGGUAACUACCCAGAAAGGGACGGCUAACUACGUG